ACGCACGCUGGCGGCGUGCUUAACACAUGCAAGUCGAACGGAAAGGCCCAGCUUUUGUGGGGUGCUCGCGUGGCGAACGGGUGAGUAACACGUGAGUAACCUGCCCUUGACUUUGGGAUAACUUCAGGAAACUGGGGCUAAUACCGGAUAGGAGCUCCUGCUGCAUGGUGGGGGUUGGAAAGUUUCGGCGGUUGGGGAUGGACUCGCGGCUUAUCAGCUUGUUGGUGGGGUAGUGGCUUACCAAGGCUUUGACGGGUAGCCGGCCUGAGAGGGUGACCGGCCACAUUGGGACUGAGAUACGGCCCAGACUCCUACGGGAGGCAGCAGUGGGGAAUAUUGCACAAUGGGCGGAAGCCUGAUGCAGCAACGCCGCGUGCGGGAUGACGGCCUUCGGGUUGUAAACCGCUUUCGCCUGUGACGAAGCGUGAGUGACGGUAAUGGGUAAAGAAGCACCGGCUAACUACGUG
rnacentral:rRNA from 1 species